rnacentral:rRNA from 1 species
GAUGAACGCUGGCGGCGUGCCUAAUACAUGCAAGUCGAGCGAACGGACGAGAAGCUUGCUUCUCUGAUGUUAGCGGCGGACGGGUGAGUAACACGUGGAUAACCUACCUAUAAGACUGGGAUAACUUCGGGAAACCGGAGCUAAUACCGGAUAAUAUUUUGAACCGCAUGGUUCAAAAGUGAAAGACGGUCUUGCUGUCACUUAUAGAUGGAUCCGCGCUGCAUUAGCUAGUUGGUAAGGUAACGGCUUACCAAGGCAACGAUGCAUAGCCGACCUGAGAGGGUGAUCGGCCACACUGGAACUGAGACACGGUCCAGACUCCUACGGGAGGCAGCAGUAGGGAAUCUUCCGCAAAGGGCGAAAGCCUGACGGAGCAACACCGCGUGAGUGAUGAAGGUCUUCGGAUCGUAAAACUCUGUUAUUAGGGAAGAACAUAUGUGUAAGUAACUGUGCACAUCUUGACGGUACCUAAUCAGAAAGCCACGGCUAACUACGUG